UACAGAGGGUGCAAGCGUUAAUCGGAAUUACUGGGCGUAAAGCGUGCGUAGACGGUUAUGUAAGUCAGAUGUGAAAGCCCCGGGCUUAACCUGGGAAUGGCAUUUGAGACUGCAUAGCUAGGGUGCGGAAGAGGGAAGCGGAAUUUCCGGUGUAGCGGUGAAAUGCGUAGAUAUCGGAAGGAACACCAGUGGCGAAAGCGGCUCCUGGUCCAGCACCGACGUUCAGGCACGAAAGCGUGGGGAGCAAACAGG
rnacentral:rRNA from 1 species